rnacentral:rRNA from 1 species
GAUGAACGCUGGCGGUAUGCUUAACACAUGCAAGUCGAACGGACUCUUCGGAGUUAGUUGCGGACGGGUGAGGAACGCGUGAGAAUCUGGCUUUGGGUUCGGGACAACCACUGGAAACGGUGGCUAAUACCGGAUGUGCCGAGAGGUAAAAGAGAAAUUGCCUGAAGAUGAGCUCGCGUCUGAUUAGCUAGUUGGUGAGGUAAAGGCUCACCAAGGCAGCGAUCAGUAGCUGGUCUGAGAGGAUGACCAGCCACACUGGGACUGAGACACGGCACAGACUCCUACGGGAGGCGGCAGUGGGGAAUUUUCCGCAAUGGGCGAAAGCCUGACGGAGCAAUACCGCGUGAGGGAAGAAGGCUCUUGGGUUGUAAACCUCUUUUCUUAGGGAAGAACAAAAUGACGGUACCUAAGGAAUCAGCAUCGGCUAACUCCGUG